UACAGAGGGUGCAAGCGUUAAUCGGAAUUACUGGGCGUAAAGGGCGCGUAGGUGGUUAUUUAAGUCAGAUGUGAAAUCCCUGGGCUUAACCUAGGAAUUGCAUUUGAAACUAGAUGGCUAGAGUAUGGUAGAGGGAAGUGGAAUUUCCGGUGUAGCGGUGAAAUGCGUAGAUAUCGGAAGGAACACCAGUGGCGAAGGCGACUUCCUGGACCAUUACUGACACUGAGGCGCGAAAGCGUGGGGAGCGAACAGG
rnacentral:rRNA from 3 species